rnacentral:ncRNA from 1 species
UCUUCCUGCAUCUCGCACACGGGGGAUUCAUCGCCAUCGACUAGUGCUUCGGUGAUUUUCCCUGUCUUUAGGGUUUAGCUGUAAUGUGCCAACUUCCCAAAGAUGCAAAAACAAGAAUCAAAAUAACGCUAUAAAUAUCUUGCUUCAAUGACCGUUGAAGAGAACUGGCGAUGCGGGAUGAACCGAACGCGCGGUUAAGGUGCCAAAGUCGACGCUCAUCAGACCCCACAAAAGGUGUUGGUUGCUCUAGACAGCAGGACGGUGGCCAUGGAAGUUGGAAUCCGCUAAGGAGUGUGUAACAACUCACCUGCCGAAGCAACUAGCCCUGAAAAUGGAUGGCGCUCAAGCGUCGCACCUAUACCGUGCCGUCGGAGCAGAUGCGAAGCUCCGACGAGUAGGAGGGCGUGGGGGUCGUGACGCAGCCUCUGGCGCGAGCC